rnacentral:lncRNA from 1 species
UCUGCAGCAGGCAGAGUGCAGAUUACUAGUGAAGUUGCCCAGAGGCCCAAACCAGGCAUAGGAAGCCCUUCAGUUUCCCCCUGGGGGGUUCUCAGGGGUGGCUACACACUCUUUUAACUCUUCCCUUUCCCUUUCUGUAGUGAAGGCCAUGUUUGUGUCCUUGCUUCAAAAUCUAAUUCUUUAGGUAAAACUGGUAAGUAACUUCCAGGUGGACCCAGAAAAAUGCAAUGAAAAAGUCAUUUAAAGGCAAAACAUGAGAAAAAAAUUAAUAAGCAGGGAUGCAAAACAACACACAUGCUCUGCUGAAACUUUUAAAAAUGAUGCACAC